GCAUACCUCGGCGGCUUGACGGCCGUACGAGGGGUGUUGCGUUUCGGUGCGUCCAUCUCCGCCUCUCGCCGCACCACCGUCUAAGUCGUUGCUUGAAAGCAGCCCCGAGGAGGGUGACAGGCCCGUUUGACGGAGACCUUUCCCGCGAGGGAGAGGUGUAACGAGGCGGCGGGGGCGGAUGGUCGUUCACCGUAGAGUCGGGUUGCCUAGUAUCGCAGCCCUAAGCAGGUGGUAAACUCCAUCUAAGGCUAAAUAUGACCACGAGACCGAUAGCGAACAAGUACCGUGAGGGAAAGUUGAAAAGGACUUUGAAGAGAGAGUUCAAUAGUACGUGAAACCGUUAGAAGCCUAAACGGGUGGAACCGCGAAGGUCGAACGAGGGGAUUCAGGCCGCUUGGCCGGGCCGCUCCGCCGGGCGCGACCAGGCAUUUGAUUUGAGAGAUGCCUGGCGUUGUUGCCGGCGGGGUUCAAUGACGAGAGACCGGCCACGGCGGUCUUACUUCUCCCUCUAGUAGGUCGCCGCGACCCGUCGUCGGGACCCCGAGGUACCUGGCCGUUGGUAGCCCGUUAGGCGGCGCGGGGCUCCGGCCCCGCCUCGUCCUACACGGGUGAUGGCGGCCUCGAUCACUGUUCGGGCCUCGGCGACGGUCACUGUGAGGGUGGCUCUCAUCUGAUGGGAGCCUCUCGCGGCGUGUGAGGUCGGUAAUCCACCCGACCCGUCUUGAAACACGGACCAAGGAGUCCAACAAGCGCGCGAGUCUAAGGGUGUUGACUAAACCCGGAGGCGAAAUGAAAGUAAGCGUCAUGCAUGAUGGUGCAUAGGGGACUGCCCUCUGUCUUUGUUGAUGGGUUAAAGCCAGGGCGGUCCUCUAGAAGCCGGCCGAUCCCCGGAGGGAGAUCGGGUGCGGCGCGGCGGCGUCCUCCGUUCGCGGGGUUGGCGCGUCCUGCUGCGUCGCACUCGCCUCCGCCCGCACCCUUAUGGCGGGGUGCGGGUCCUGGUCUAACAGGCCCUCCUUGACCGGAGGUCGGGGCGCAGGCCAAGGACUGGCCGCCUAACCCGUGCGGCGGGGCGGAUCGCCUCGGCCCUCGGGCCUGGGGCGCUAAGGCCCGCCGCGCGGGUGGCCAGUACCUGAGAGCGCGCUCGUUGGGACCCGAAAGAUGGUGAACUAUGCCCGGCCAGGACGAAGCUAGAGGAAACUCUGGUGGAGGUUCGAAGCAAUUCUGACGUGCAAAUCGAUUGUCAAAGCUGGGUAUAGGGGCGAAAGACCAAUCGAACCAUCUAGUAGCUGGUUCCCUCCGAAGUUUCCCUCAGGAUAGCUGGCGUUCGUUGAUGAGUUUCAUCCGGUAAAGCGAAUGAUUAGAGGCCUUGGGGGUGCAACGCCCUCAACCUAUUCUCAAACUUUAAAUGGGUGAGAAGCGCACCUUGCUUGAUGUUGAAUGAAGGUGUCGCGUCGAAUCGGAGCGCCUAGUGGGCCACUUUUGGUAAGCAGAACUGGCGCUGUGGGAUGAACCAAACGCACGAGUUAAGGGGCCUAAACGAAUGCUAAUGUAGAUACUACGAAAAGGUGUUGGUUGCUAUGGACAGCAGGGCGGUGGCCAUGGAAGUUGGAACCCGCUAAGGAGUGUGUAACAACUCACCUGCCGAAGCAACUAGCCCUCAAAAUGGUAUGGCGCUCAAGCAUUCUCCCGAUACUCGGCCGCCGGGGCAGAGGGAGACCUGUUCGCAGAAAACCCGAGAGGCCCCGGUGAGUAGGAGGGUCGCGACGGUGUGCGCAGAAGGGACCCGGCGUGAGCCGGCCUGGAGCCGCCGUUGGCGCAGAUCUUGGUGGUAGUAGCAAAUAAUCGAGAGAGAACCUCGUUGACUGAGGCGGAGAAGGGUUCCAUGUCAACGUCAGUUGGACAUGGGUUAGUCAGACCUUAGCCCAAGGAUAGAUUUCCUGCAGCCCGACGUAUACCCGCAGAGGGGCCAAACAAA
rnacentral:rRNA from 1 species